rnacentral:tRNA from 2 species
GCCGCUAUGGUGGAAUUGGUAGACACGUUGCUCUUAGGAAGCAAUGCUAGCGCAUCUCGGUUCAAAUCCGAGUAGCGG